rnacentral:rRNA from 1 species
UCAAAGGAAUUGACGGGGACCCGCACAAGCAGCGGAGCGUGUGGUUUAAUUCGUUGCUACACGAAGAACCUUACCUGGGUUUGACAUAUAGGUUGUAGGGAACUGAAAAGGGACCGACCCUUCGGGAGCCUAUACAGGUGUUGCAUGGUUGUCGUCAGCUCGUGUCGUGAGAUGUUCGGUUAAGUCCGCUAACGAGCGCAACCCUCGUCGUAUGUUAUAUGUGUCAUACGAGACUGCCGGUAAAAGCCGGAGGAAGGUGAGGAUGAUGUCAAGUCAGCAUGACCUUUAUAUCCAGGGCUACACACACGCUACAAUGGUCUGUACAAUGGGUAGCCAAGCCGCGAGGCGGAGCCAAUCCUGAAAGCAGGCCUCAGUUCAGAUUGCAGUCUGCAACUCGACUGCAUGAAGCCGGAGUUGCUAGUAACCGCAGGUCAGCAAUACUGCGGUGAAUACGUUCCCGGGUCUU